CAGGAGGAUUGCUUAAGCCUAGGAGUUCAAGACCAGCCUGGUCAACAAAGCAAGACCCCAUUUCUAUAGACAGAUAAAAUCACCAUGCCUGGCUAAUUUUUUAAUUAUUUUGUAGAGAUGGGGUCUCACUUUGUUGCACAGGCUGUUUGCUUGAUUCUUAAGAACGUAUAGGGAUCCAGCUGUACAGAGCUUUCUGCAGUCUUUUGUAAUAGAAUUAGUUGUUAAAAUUGUACUUAUUACAUGAGCAUCAAAGACCUUGGAAUAAAGCUAUUCCUCACAUAU
rnacentral:lncRNA from 10 species